rnacentral:rRNA from 1 species
CAGCCGCCACGGUAAUACGUAGGUGGCAAGCGUUGUCCGGAAUUAUUGGGCGUAAAGGGCUCGCAGGCGGUUUCUUAAGUCUGAUGUGAAAGCCCCCGGCUCAACCGGGGAGGGUCAUUGGAAACUGGGAAACUUGAGUGCAGAAGAGGAGAGUGGAAUUCCACGUGUAGCGGUGAAAUGCGUAGAGAUGUGGAGGAACACCAGUGGCGAAGGCGACUCUCUGGUCUGCAACUGACGCUGAGGAGCGAAAGCGUGGGGAGCGAACAGGAUUAGAUACCCCGGUAGUCCCUGUCUCUUAUAC